rnacentral:rRNA from 1 species
UACGAAGGGUGCGAGCGUUGUUCGGAAUUACUGGGCGUAAAGCGCGUGUAGGCGGUUCAUUAAGUCAGAUGUGAAAUCCCGGGGCCUAACUCCGGAAGUGCAUUUGAAACUGAUGAGCUGGAGUGAUGUAGAGGAUGGCGGAAUACCCAGUGUAGUGGUGAAAUACGUAGAGAUUGGGUAGAACACCGGUGGCGAAGGCGGCCAUCUGGGCAUUAACUGACGCUGAGACGCGAAAGCGUGGGGAGCAAACAGG